AGGUUGUUCACAUAAUCAGUGGAAUUCUUAACCCUCAACGGUUGUUGGACCAGAGUAUGUGCGAAAGAUUUGUGGCGAUAAGAGAGCGCCACGGAUUACGGCGAUAGGGGGCAGCCGUGCUCCAGGGGGGCGUACCCCACGCAGAGGGAUAAAAGCGGUGAUCCGCUGGAUAAGACCCCUUUUUUCGUUGUGCGGUUUUUGCUGGGUGCAAGCUGUCUGAACGUGAAAUAAACCUGAUGCAACGACGUCCGCAGCAUCCCGCCCGCCGUGCACCUGCCCGCUCCCGUUCCCGCGGAAGCCGCCCGGAUCCGGAUCCACCCCAGCACCACUCCGUGGCCACUUGGACAGUUGUGUCCCACGGACAGCCGGUUUCCUGGGCAUCCCGCACACGGUGGGCUCACCAGCCAAGGCCCCUCCAGGGGGACGACCCCACACAGACUCCGGCUCCGUUUCGCGGUCUGACGCUCACCGACCGCCACCCGGCCGAUCCCCUACAGCCCCUCACUGCGGAGGAGAAG